rnacentral:tRNA from 1 species
AGUAAGAUCAGCUAAAAUAAGCUUUUGGGCCCAUACCCCAAAAAUGUAGGCUAAACUCCUUCUCUUACUA